CCUACGGGGAGCUGCAGUGGGGGAUAUUGCACAAUGGGGGAAACCCUGAUGCAGCGACGCCGCGUGUGGGAAGACGGUCCUCUGGAUUGUAAACCACUGUCCCCAGGGACGAAGAUGACGGUACCUGGGGAGGAAGCUCAGGCCAACUAAGUACCAGCAGACGCGGUAAUACGUAGGGAGCGAGCGUAGUCCGGAAUUACUGGGUGUAAAGGGAGCGUAGGCGGGUAUGCAGGUUGGUGGGCAAGACUACGGGCUAAACUGGUAGUCGCACUCAAAACUGCAGCUCUUGAGUGAAGUAGAGGCAGGCGGAAUUCCUAGUGUAGCGGUGAAAUGCGUAGAUAUUAGGAGGAACACCAGUGGCGAAGGCGGCCUGCUGGACUUUUACUGACGCUGAGGCUCGAAAGUGUGGGGAGCAAACAGGAUUAGAUACCCGUGUAGUC
rnacentral:rRNA from 1 species